UGGCAUUUGUAUUUAACAGUACGCCCGGGCAUGUGACAGACCAGCCCUGUAAACAACACAAGAAAGAGUACUUGGGUACAUUUGAAUUCACUUACUGACAAGGACUUUUUAAAAUGAUUUAUAAAAUGUGAAAAGAGGACAACCACAUACAAAAAAGGACUGUGAGGGACUGAAGAAAAGAUUGAAAAAAAGAAGAAUCUGAAAGUCUGAAGGCAAUUAGAAAAGGUCUGAUCAAAGAGACUGGCCAUGGAGGUGAAUUACAAAGAACCAGCGCCAGACUAUGAUGACGUUGUUACCCAGCAGCACACAAGCAACACUCAGCAGAGCAGGAAUGAUAAGAAGCAGGGAGAGGGUGGCUGUAUGCGAUGCUGCAUGAGUACUAAGAGAUGUUUGAUGAGUGGGGAGUGUGGCCGAGCUCUCAACAUUGCCAGCGUGGUUGCCAUGUGUGGGAUGUGUAUCCGAAUGUUUGUCUAACACAGUCUCACAUCCAGUGGUGGCCAUCUUAAUUUAAGAAACAAAGACAUUUGCUCUGUACCUAAACCUAGCGAGCUGCCUACUAUUUAAGCAACAUUUAAAAGUCUCUAAAUGCAAAGGCUGUUCCAAAUAUGUAUUGAUGCUACCCAUGUUUGACAAACAUUAUUAGAAUAUAGUUGUAUAUAAUUCAAAUUUCCCCAUUUCACCAAAUAUAUUCACCGAUAUAUUGUUCUGCAUGUUCUACUGUAGUAUUGAGUUGUUAGCUUAGCAGCAUGCUAAUGUCAAACUCUAUUAAUAUGAGUCUUAAUUGAGUAUCUUGUGCUUCAUUUAAAGAACACGAGUUGUGUGUUGCACAUAAGUGACCAAUAACAUAGUUGCUGCUUUUUUUAAGUACAUUUUGAGCUUAAUUUUGGUUUUAUGAUGCUGCCAUAGAAGGUAGAUUCCUUCGUAGACAACAUGAGGAAGAUUGCUAGCUACAGUAGGUUUUUGUUGCAAGAGUAGAUCUGGCACAACAUUACCUACUCACAAGGUGCAUGGAUUAAAUCAGCUGGAAUGAAGCAGAGGAAUCCAGCCACACUUCCUCUACUGUAGGUUUUUGAACAGAGCUGUUGUUAUGGCCUGAUUCCAAUUCAAUGAAAAUAAAACAAUUCAUUUUCCAUAA